rnacentral:lncRNA from 1 species
CCAUUCUUCAUUAAAUUUAUUUUGCACAGUAGUGUUUCUAAGUCUUAGAUAGCUUAACUCUUAACAGAAGACUGGUGACUAACAACCUCUUUUGAUUUGUGGUAUUGUGACUGAUUGCCUUCUCUGUCUUUCUUCAAGGAUUUUCCUUCCUUCCUUGUUUCCCCAGUGAUCUUAGGGCUCUACUGGCAUAUUCCUGUAUCCUGUUUGACAUAGAGAUGCCUCUUAAGAACAGCCUCAUUGCACUCUUUACUGAAGAGCUGCCCACCCAGAGUCUUGACUCUAGGACAGGCCAGAAGGCAGUGCUAUUGAGAGGUGUCAGUUGGUCUUCAGUCUCAUCUGCUGAACCCAGCUUUGAGUAUGAGUUGGCGAGUUAGUGAGCCUCCAUCCUAUGGAAGAGACUUUGGGAAGCUGUCCUUUGUCUCCGUUAUUAGUUAAUAAGAGGUGCCUUUUGAUCCAGAUGUUACCACCUCCUCACUUGGUCAGAGGAUGUACAGUUUUACAAAACUACUAAAGUGGAUUUAAAAUAGUUUUGAUGAAGCCGGUGCACAAAGCAUUACCUGAUCUUAAGGAAUAGUACUCUAAGCUAAGUUGACGAGCUUUGUGCAGCUACCUUAAUGUCUUUGGAGUUUGUUAUUCUCUUUACAGACAGCUCUAGACAUCUCUUGGGAGAUUUUGCAGUUUGGCAUCUGUGCUCUUGUUCACUCUCUGUGAAGGUAGUACCUAGUUGCUAUGGCACAGCCUGUGAUACUGGGCUCGCUGCCUGUCAGGUUUUGUUGCUCCAUCAGCCCCAUCUUUGUCUGCAAGUAAUCUAACAUAAACAUCCUACUCUGCUUUAGAAACUGACUUGGGAGAAACUUAGUCAUUGUUAUCAGUAAAUUUAGAUGGAUGUCCCUAAGUGUUUACCAUUUCUGUCCAGUCAAGGAGUCUCUUUUCUUGGAAAUUUGGUUGCGAGUCUGGGGCCAAAAUGCAAAGGAGAAGUUCUGUUCAAAGGCAAGAGUCAAAAUCUGUUAUUUCAGUUGGCAUUUACAACGUCAGUCACUUCUCCAAGUUUGCGUAAAUCAGCUUGAUGGAGUGGGACAGACGAACAUCCAACUUUGAAACUAUAGCAUAGUUAGAACUAAGUAUUGCUGGAAUAUCUAGCCUUGUAGUGUCUUAUUGCCCACCGAUCACCAGGGAGUAAAGGGAUGGCCGUUGGCUUGGGCAGAAGUCUGAAGUCUCACGCUCUUGCCUCCCUGGUGCAGGAAGGUCUAAGACUGACAUGUCACGGGAGCAUCGCCUUUGCCAAAUCUAAUGAGUGAUGGGUUAUCUUGAAAAUGUGACAAUCACAUUUCCUCUUUGCUCAAAUAAUUCUAUUUUUCCAAAGCUUUAGCAGCUUAAUUAAAUCUCUUGGACUGGGGGAGGAGAGAACUGUUCCCUAGCGGUUAACAUGGUAUUCUUUAAGAAGAAAAACAAAGCCAAAGAAAACUCAUUAUCAGGCAUGUUCGCCUUAAAGAUGGUAGUGCUUAGAAUCUGGCGUUUGAAUUUGUUUUUAAACGCUACGUAUCUCAUAUUUGGUGUUGGCCUCUUAAAUCUAAUUUUUGUGUAGAAUUCUUGCCAUAUUGUUUUAUUUGAGUAAGGGCUCUGUGCACUGAACUGCCUACCAAGCUUUCUUCAUCUGUGAUGACAUUCUCACCACAGGGGUCUUAACAGUGCAGAGUAGACUUGUGCUGUUUACAUAGUUCACUUGUAACUAAAAGAGCCUGAAAUAACCUGUAGUUUUGCAUCUAAUUCGACCCCAGUUUACUUCGGUUGUUGUCAGGAUCAAUUAUGAAACUGAAGUUUGGUGCCUCCUGUGUAUCAUGUUUUUCCCCUGUAGCAGUUGUGUUUAAUGUCAUUAAGAAGAAAUAAAAGUUCUUGUCAGUGGCUU